ACUUCGACCUUAGAUCAGGCGAGAAU
rnacentral:rRNA from 1 species